rnacentral:rRNA from 1 species
AUUGAACGCUGGCGGAAUGCUUUACACAUGCAAGUCGAACGGCAGCACGGACUUCGGUCUGGUGGCGAGUGGCGAACGGGUGAGUAAUGUAUCGGAACGUGCCCAGUCGUGGGGGAUAACGUAGUGAAAAUUACGCUAAUACCGCAUACGAUCUAUGGAUGAAAGCGGGGGAUCGCAAGACCUCGCGCGAUUGGAGCGGCCGAUAUCAGAUUAGGUAGUUGGUGGGGUAAAGGCGCACCAAGCCAACGAUCUGUAGCUGGUCUGAGAGGACUACCAGCCACACGGGAACUGAGACACGGUCCAGACUCCUACGGGAGGCAGCAGUGGGGAAUUUUGGACAAUGGGCGAAAGCCUGAUCCAGCCAUUCCGCGUGCAGGAUGAAGGCCCUCGGGUUGUAAACUGCUUUUGUACAGAACGAAAAGGUUUCUACUAAUACUAGGAGCUCAUGACGGUACUGUAAGAAUAAGCACCGGCUAACUACGUGCCAGCCGCCGCCGUAA